GACAGAGGGUGCAAACGUUGUUCGGAAUUACUGGGCGUAAAGCGAGUGUAGGCGGUCUUGUAAGUCGGAUGUGAAAGCCCCGGGCUCAACCCGGGAAGUGCACUCGAUACUGCAAGACUUGAGUACCGGAGAGGUUGGUGGAAUUCUCGGUGUAGAGGUGAAAUUCGUAGAUAUCGAGAGGAACACCGGUGGCGAAGGCGGCCAACUGGACGAGUACUGACGCUGAGACUCGAAAGCGUGGGGAGCAAACAGG
rnacentral:rRNA from 1 species